rnacentral:lncRNA from 1 species
UGCUUAUAGUGAUGUCGGACAAGGAAUGAAUCAGAGCCUUCCUAUGAUCUUGCGAAUGCAUCAGUAACUCCCAAUCCCUCUUCUUAUUCUUCUUUAGCUCUUCUAGGAGCCCUUUAUCCUCUUCCUUUGAUUCUUUCUCAACCUAUUUCGGCUCUUGUGCCCCCUUGUGACUACUCUUAACCCUUGGCUCAACUUCCUUAUCAGAAUUAUUAUUUCC